ACUGCCGUCUCUGCUUGCGGUUUUCCAGCUCUGUGAGAAGAGCCUGUCUGUAGGCCUCAUACAGCUUAACGAUCUGCUCCAGCUCCUUCAUGAAGAGCAGCUUCAGCAUUCCCUGAAGCCUGGAUAUUCUUCUCUUUUCUGGGCACUCUAACUCCUGGGAACUGGAGUUGCAUGAAGAAGCAGUUACGUCUCAGGUGUUCCCCAGAACUGCUGUCACUCAGAUUUGUCCACUGAAAAAUCUGGAAGCAAUAAUCCAUGCAGUAGCAACGAAUCCUAGUUGUGAUCCCAAUCCUAUGAAUCCCAGUCCCUAUGGAAAGGAACCGGAGCUCCUUGAACCACAGGUGGAUUCCAAGGCUGACACAGGCCAGACACAAAGGAGUCUGGAACGUCCAACCGUCCAGGCCCAUUAGAAAGCACAAAGAACAGUGAAGACCAGAGGAGACCAUCGCAGGGGAUGAGUGUCCACGGGAGCAGUUCAAACAACAGAGUGCCCACUACAGCAGCAGAGCAACUCCAAAUUCUACAAGUUCACGCUGAAGAAGCAACCAGUCCUGGGUCUGGAUCAGAAUCCCAAGAUGUGCUUACCAUUCUGUAGUCUCAGGAGGAACUAUUCAAAAACAGAAUGGACAUCAUAUAGAAAGUGUCCAAUGUUCAAUGCUGUAGGAUGUCAUUCUGCAUGCUGUGAAUGUGUGUUGCUCUAAUUGGUUGAUAAAUAAAACGCUGAUUGGCCAGUAGCCAGGCAGGAAGUAUAGGUGCGAUAAGCAGAUGAGGAGAAUUCUGGGAAGAGGAAGGCUGAGUCAGGAGUCGCCAGCCAGACACAGGAAGCAAGAUGACAAGGCAGAACUGAGAAAAGGUACCAAGCCACAUGGCUAAACAUCAACAAGAAUUAUGGGUUAAUUUAAGUGUAAGAGCUAGUCAGUAAUAAACCUGAGCUAAUGGCCAAACAGUUAUAAUGAAUAUAAGUCUCUGUGUGUUUUACUUGGGGGACAUGAGGAGAAAACUGUCCUGACCGCCGGCCAGCUGGGACACAGGAAAACUUCCAACUACAGAUCAAAUUGGAACAACUUGGACAAUAAAUGACUCAAAAUCACGUUGUAACCCUAAAUAUAAAAUAAACAUAUGUAAUAUAUAUGUAUGAUAGAAACUACAGACUGAGAAAAGAGGAGAGAAAACUUCCUUAGUGGGAAAAUUGACAUGUGUAGGUAUUAGAGCAGAACUGCACAUAUAUAGCUGUCCCCACCCCAACAGGGAAAGUUCAAUAUACUUGCCCUCUUCAAAGUGCCUUAGUGCUAGUGACUCCACCCCCCCAAAAAUAAUGGUCUAAAGCCGGGCGGUGGUGGCGCACACCUUUAAUCCCAGCACUUGGGAGGCAGAGGCAGGCAGAUCUUUGUGAGUUCAAGGCCAGCCUGGUC